rnacentral:lncRNA from 1 species
UCAAAUUACGUGAGUCUGAGCUGUUCCCCUAACUCAGGGUGCUACAAACACAAGACUUGCUCAGGAAAGCUUCCGAAGAGAACAGCUUCCAGCCUGCUUCCCGUGACACUCAGCAGCACACGGGAAGUGGGCCAGUGGAUUGCCAACUACAUCAGGUAGCCUUACUACUGCUAAUCACUGUCAAUAAUGUCCUUUCACUCUCCGAGGAAAGCCGUGAGAAUGGACACGGUGAACUGAACAUUGGUCAGUAUUGGGAAGGUUUACUGUUGCAAUAGCUAAUCCAACCCCGAGUGUACUGGUUCUGUGAACCACCUGAAAAGCAAAUUAAAUACUAUUAAACAGC